UCAGGGGAAAAAUGUCAGAGAGGAUCUUGUUUUUUGAAUAUUGAAAAGGAUCCUCUAGGACACAUUGCUUCCAGUCACUCACUCGUGUACUGGACGUGAGGCAGAGAAAUCCUCUGACCCAGCUUUUGUCACGUAAUAUGCCACUUUUCUAACUCAUGACCAAGCUGUGAGCAGUGGUGUCUGUAGCAGCUGUCUUCCUGGCACAAGAAAAAGAUGAUGAUAAAGUGACAUGAGCUAUACUUGCCUGGAGGAUCCCAAGCUGUAAGGCAAGGCAGCAAAUUGAAGUAUCUGAAUCUUCAGUAUCCUAGAAUUUUUCCUUGUAUUAUCUGAAACAUGGCACAUCAUUGAUCUAAAUCCUGGAAGCAAAUGGGAAGACAGGCUUACUGGAACAAUUUCAUAAACCAACCAUUUGACUGUAUUUCUCUGAUCUCUGUAAGCCACUUAGAAGCAGUGGGUUGAUGAGUAUCUCUUCCUUUGUUGUUAAACUUGAUCAUCCAGGACAUAAUUAGCAAUAAAGAUGUUCCAAAUUGCGGAUCUUCCAAGUCCAGCUGAUUAAAUUUAGACAUAAUGACCUCAAUCUCUUUAAUAAGCCUCCUUAAUGUGUCUUCCUUAAUUUAAAAUCUGGAAGCUGUUAAUCACAUAUGUGUAUGAUAUGUGUAGAUGAAUGUGCUUUCUUUCAGCAAUAUCACCUACAAUAAAAACAAAUAUCUUUUUCUCUAAAUAUGUGGCACAUAUAUGGCAAUGAAGUAACUUGCUUGAUGAAAGUAUGCAGUCAUAUGUACUGGCAGUGGCAUGAAAUCUUGAUUACAGCCAAUAAAAAUAUCUAAUUUU